GCGCUAGGCGGGGAGUCAGCGGUGCCCUGAACUUGCAAUCCGCUAUAGCAAGGCCGAAUGCUUCCCGAGGCUCGCCCUAUGGUUGGCUGCGCGCGGUAAGGCGUGUUGAUGAUAAGGUCUUAUGCAACGGCCGUCCGCGAACCGCGUCAGGAUAGGAAUAUAGCAGCGCUAAACGGUUCCGGUCGUGUGCCAUAAGGUUGCUUUAUAGGAGCGACCUGCCGCGUUUACGCUUCGGUAGGACAAGUCGAAGGAAGAUGCGC
rnacentral:SRP_RNA from 1 species